rnacentral:lncRNA from 1 species
CUGGAGUAAUGAAGGUUUUUCUGCAUCUCUUUGAGUGACCUUUGGUUUCUCAAGUCUUCAAAUUAUGUGAGGUGCGACCCAGAGCUGCCACACUGAGCUGUAAAGCUCAGCUGUGCCUCCGAGCCAGGGCACUGGGCUGUAGCACCGAGCUGCUCUGCUCUGCCUGCCCAGCCGUCCUUGUAGACCGUGCACCACAUGAGUGCGGGACAGGAGCUCUGGACACUUGCACCGGGGAGGAGAUGAACACACUAUGCAUUGCUGUGUCAUUUAUUCUUUGCUUUCCAAACCUCUCCAAGCAACUCGAACACCCUGAACUUGGACGAUCCUGAGCUUCUCUUCCGUGGCAUGCUGAGAUGAGAAGAAUCUGAAAUCUAACUCCAGAAGAAGAAGUGAGCAACCCAGAACCCGGUAACGUUCAAUUGGUGAGCCACGAUUAGAAGCUACCCAGUAACAUUUUGGCGUAGACAUCCAGGAAAAUCAAAAGUCAAGAGAUUCUGAUAAGCAUAGGAACAGCAUCUUCCUGGAAUUUUAUGUCAACUCUGGGUAGCCAUGGUGUGAGGGCUAACAGAGAACAGGUGCAGGUGGGGUCUGUGUCUCUUCAGAGAGCCAUAAGGCAGCAAGAGAGUGAGGCCUGGGGUCCUACACUGCAGCUAGCGAUCUCAUGAAAUCAUGUUCUCUGUGAGAGUCAUAUACAAGGGGGCCAACACUGUUACAGAUAGAUGAGCUAGGAAGAAAUACUAUAGGCACUCAGAUGGGCUGAGUCCUGGAGAAGGCCAGGACAAAGGUGAAACACAGCACAGCUGCACAUCGGCUGAAAACCAGGCCUCAUGACGGAGACAGGAUGGCCGGACCCACGGACUUCUUCACAGCACUGGGCUUAGUGAAGCCUAGACAGGCAUCGACCACCCUGGGGUGACCAGAGAGCUCUGGACCCACCGCCUGCUAGGAGAAUCCUUGUUCUCUCCAUCCACACUUGCUACGUGACUCGCUUCCCAACUGGACACCAUCACCUGAGUGACUGCACCUGUGACCUUAGUGGAUGAUCACGGCCGGGGCCCACCUGUACCCAUGUGGGUUUCACCCUCUAAACUCCUCUGUAAAGUGGGGUCCCAGGCUGCCCACUCGGGACCCCUCCUGCCCCUCACGAGCUUUCCGAU